UUUAAUUGGUUGAAUAAUUUCCAGAGAAGGAAGUACUGGUCAGAUUUCAUGGGAUCACAAACACUUCAUUUUCUACUUAAAAAAUGAAGACAAGAUAAAUCUUCCAGCUUAUACUUUCAACCAUCUUUGUGAAGCAAUCAAGGAUAGCACAAAGCUUCACAAGAAGAAUGUGCCUUAUGCUAGAUUGUUAUCAUAAUUUCUCUUUCAAGGUCGUCUUAUU
rnacentral:lncRNA from 1 species